AACAAAGAGGCGUGUGGGGAGCGAGGAAAAGCAUCUCCUAGAAGCAAACCCCCGCCUUUGCGCUUCUUGCAGCAGCGUCGCUACAGCAGACGACCGCCGUGGCCCCGCAGGAGUAUCACCGCGGCCACGCGUAACUUCAUAUUCGUAGCCAUGGGCCAUGGCUGCUCACAACGCUGCAAGUUCAUCAGAGUGCCUCUUCUUCGCCGCCACAGAAGGCACAAAUAGUCGAUGCAAUAUGGAAGCCAUGAGGCACUCAAAGUACACAUCAUGUGGCUCAUUUCAUGGCAAAGUGAAGAGCAUAGAGUGAAGACAUGUAUUUUUUUCAAUUGUAAUGUAUUUAGAUUAAAUUGUGUACGUAUACCUUACUUGAUCUAAUGUGAAGCUCUAUAAUGACCUUAGAUUGACCCUACGAA